CCAUAACCUAUCAUCUGCUGAUACCGUCCCAGAUGUACAGAGCAGUACACCAGACACAGCGGUUGGAAGAAGCACAGCGGAUGUUGGACGUCUUUUCAGAUCUAUGGUCAUGGAUUCAGCACCUUUUUUUGAUGAUAUGCAAGAGGAGAA